rnacentral:lncRNA from 1 species
UAUUAUUAUUGACCGUGUGUAGCGGGCCUUGAUUUUAUGGCGCACUACACACCAUACAAACUUAUUGUGCAAUUAUUGUUGACCGUGUGUAGCGUGCCUAAUGCUUGCAGCAGGCAGUUCGCAGCAGUCUCAUCUGUCUCGCUCGUAAACGAGCGAGACUCGUUGCUGGUUGCUGCUCGUUACGCGAGAGGUUUACGCGCGUGUGUGGCGUGCGUCGGUGCUUCGCUACAAAUUCUUUUUCGUUCCCUGCUGCUGCUGCUGCUGUGCAUGUUUUGUUUCGGUUCAUUUUUUAUUAUCAUUUAACCUUUAUACCGAAACGCGAGAAAGUGAGUGCUUCUACUAUCAAUCUCACCACCAAUCAUCCACGGCGUACACCACGCAGUCGUGUUUUUACAGCUUGUCUCUUUCGUCGUCGCUCUAACCGCGCGCGAGUACAUACCCACAGUGACAUUAACGCGAUAAAGGCUUACGAUUGUUACAAGUUUUUUUAGAAAAGAGUGAAUAAAUCGUGCGAUAACUUCCAAACUACGCAACGGUUACAACGUGUAUACACGCGCGAGAGUUCGUUGCCGCGUUCACAGCAGGUUAUCAUUCUCGGUGAAAUAAAUCUCUUGUCCCUUUGCAAUUGCAAAGAAGAAUUCUUCAAUCCAGCUAUAGAAUUACAUUCCAAAUUAUGUUCUCAUUGCUCUGUCGAAUCUUUCUUAUUCUAGAUAACCUGACGCGAAUCUGUUCUGUCCCAUAGGAGUAUCAUGGAGAGCAUGCACCGUACGAGCUUGGGCUAUUUCGACUAUAAAUUCAUAUCCUGUCCGCGAAUUAAAUCUCACACUCUUCUUUUCGUCUCGCAUAUCUUGACCAGUCCCCCUACAAGACAUGCUUCGACAUAGUAACUUCUGUAUUUUGUCUGUUGGACGAAACUCUCAUCCACGAGUUCCAGUAGUGUGUCAAAUUCCAUCUCCGAUCUUGCUGAUCGACCAAGUUUUUCUUGCAUUCAAUUUUGCAGCAUAACAAAGUGUUUUCUUUCUAUCCAAGCUCCGUACAACUAUUAAUAUCACCACUAUUUUGCAAUCAACGUUUAUUGGAUUCAACCUGCGGACAAGCGACAAAGACCCGGACAACAUUUUUCCUAUCUGCGGCAAUAUAUCCAGAAUUGUUAUUGCAAAUGAAAACAAUGGCUAAAGCAAUUUUGUAUUCCUCACUUUUUCUUCCAACUCUUUCCUCCCCAUACCCCUCCCCCCCCCCCCCCCCCUAAUAGCUUGUAUUUCUUUUCCACAUUUAUUCUUUUCCUGCAUCAAAAUCAUUCCUUCUUGAUUUCAGUUUCAAGAUAAAACAUAGCUCCGGACGGGCGGUCUAUGCUAUACGGCCGUAGGCUUGUUGCAUUGUCCAACAUUGAGAGUAGUAUCCCUGGCGUACUCUUGUCAUCCACCGCCGGAGACUUUGCAAAAUUGUAUACUUUUCUUAUCCGGCGACGGAGCAGGAUAAUGACAGCAAAGAAAACAGACCACGGAGCAGGGAAAGAAACAACUACGACGCAUUGUGAUCCAUAUUUUUUAUAACCAUUGACCCUGUUCAAACGUUUCUGUUUCCCAGUCGUCGAUAGAAUUAGAAGCAAGCGUCACAAAUUACACACAAAAUCAACUUUAUACCGACGCGAGAGAAAAAACUCGUUAUUUUAUUAUUGUACGACUGCGAUUGUGAAUAUAUGAAAAAAUUUAUGCCAACGAAAA